CAGUAGCCGCGGGAAUACGAAGGGGGCUAGCGUUGUUCGGAUUUACUGGGCGUAAAGCGCACGUAGGCGGACUUUUAAGUCAGGGGUGAAAUCCCGGGGCUCAACCCCGGAACUGCCUUUGAUACUGGAAGUCUUGAGUAUGGUAGAGGUGAGUGGAAUUCCGAGUGUAGAGGUGAAAUUCGUAGAUAUUCGGAGGAACACCAGUGGCGAAGGCGGCUCACUGGACCAUUACUGACGCUGAGGUGCGAAAGCGUGGGGAGCAAACAGGAUUAGAUACCCCCGUAGUCCCUGUCUCUUAACA
rnacentral:rRNA from 1 species